rnacentral:ncRNA from 2 species
UUCCAUCUUCGGGGCAGGGUGAAAUUCCCGACCGACGGUGAAGAACCCACUUGGUGUUCUAAGUCCGUGACCCGGGAGGCCAUUUUUGGCCAAGCGGUGGACCUGGUGAGAAUCCGGGACCGACAGUUACAGUCUGGAUGGGAGAAGAUGUAG